rnacentral:lncRNA from 1 species
AAGCAGGGGGAGCUGCAGAGGGAGAGGUAGACGCAGGCUCCCUGCUGAGCGGGGAGCUCCACUGGUCCCAUAGGACCCCAAGAUCAUGACUUGAGCCAAAGGCAGACGCUUAUCCGACUGAGCCACCCAGGUGCCUCUUAAAUUCUAAAAAUACCACCUGUAAAAAGUUACUUUUUAGGCAAUCAGAAAACUCUAAAUGUAGGCAACUGGGCCAUGAUUCCAACAGAUUGUUGUUGUUUUUAAAGAUUUUAUUUAUAUAUUCGUGAGAGACACAGGAGAGAGAGAGAGAGAGAGAGAGAGAGAGAGGCAGAGACACAGACAGAGGGAGAGGCAGGCUCCAUGCAGAAAGCCCGACGCGGGACUCGAACCCGGAACCCCGGGAUCACGCCCUGGGCCAAAGGCAGACGCUCAACCGCUGAGCCACCCAGGCAUCCCUCCAACAGAUUGUUGCUGCUAUUUCGAGGCUCGGAUUGCGCUGUGGCUAUGGAGGUGAAGUGUCUAAGUUUUUUGGAAACUCCAUACUAUAAAAGUGUAGAGAUGAAAAGACAUACUGUCUUGAGUUUCACUCAUUUCUUAAAAGGUUGUUUUUGUUUGUUUGUUUGGUUUUUGCUUUUGUUUGUUAAGUAAUCUCGACAGCCAACAGGGGCCUCAAACACACCACCUGGAGAUCGAGAGUCCCAUGCUCCACUGCCUGAGGCAGCCAGGUGCCCCGCCCUUGAGUUUCUUUUAAAUGAUCACAGCCAGAAGAGAAGUAUGGGCAGAGGAGAGGAAGAUGAAAGGAAAGAAUGGAGGGAGGGACGGAGAAGACAGGAGUAGAUGAUGGAGGAAGGAAGAAAGGAGGGAGGAAGGGGAGGGGGGAGAGAGAAAAGAGAGAAGAAAGGAGAGAGAAAGGGAAACCAUCUUUCCGUACUUCAUAAGAAUUCUGUGAGGUGAUUACCAUUAUUUUAGUGAACCCUGGUAGUAACAGGAAUAGUUGCCCUAUUUUCGGUUGGGGAAGAGGCGGCGAGAGACAGUCAGGCCUGCCAGUGUCACAUAGUGAGCGGAUAGCAGGAAAGCGGAAGGAGUGAAACUGUGCCCUGAAACCAGAUGCAAGCGCUCCAAGUCCAGGGCCUGCUUACUUUCCUCAAUUCCCUGGUCUUCCCUAGAAGAUUUCUUGAGGUGGGAGCGGGUGGUGAGGGGCACCGUCUCCACUCGAGCCCAUGCAAGUGCACACGUGACUUAGACAGAUGCCACUACACACACAGAAUUUUACAUUCCAACUCAAGGGGACCUCCGAUGUACCUGGUGGACAGCGGUGGCCUCCGAGCAGGGACUCUGGCUCUGGACCUGGGUGCCCACCCCCCCCCCCCCCACUAACCGCAAGGAACUGAACCAAGAACCAGCUGAGAGAAUCGCCUCCUAGAAACUCAUCCUAAAACACUGCUUCCGCCAGGGCUCCCCCUGGCCCCAAACUCUCUCACGUUAACCAUCAUCCCAGACACACACACGUUCCAACGCCCUCCUUGAAUUCACCCCCCACCCACCUAACAUGUAAACUCUACGUGCCCCUCAGUAUUACAGAGUUCUCUGCAGACACCUCUCUAGCUUCCUCUCCAGGUCACACUCCAGAGCCACCCUGGCUGUGUCUGGGUCCCCCUGAGAUGAGCUGUAUGCUUCUUCCCUCCUGGGGCUGCUCCUACUACCCCCUUGCACUGAGGUUCCAUGCACGGCCUGCUUAGCAUUUGCGGAACUUGGACUCCCUCUGAGGUGUAAGGGAAACCCCCACUGCUCCCCAAAAGCCCAAUGUGCUUCUACCCGUGGCUGCGAGGAACAGUCUCUUCAGAGGUUUGUAUCCUGCCCCACCUCCACCAAGCUCUGCACCUUGUCAAAGUCACGGACACUCUCUAGGCCUUCACUGCCUUGGUUAAGAAAAAAAAGUGAGGCCUCCACCGCCCCCAGCCACCCAAACCCCCUUCCCUCCUCGGGGCAGUAGUAGGAUUGAGAGCCAGGCCCUGGGGC